rnacentral:rRNA from 1 species
GACGAACGCUGGCGGCGUGCUUAACACAUGCAAGUCGAACGGAAAGGCCCUGCUUUUGUGGGGUGCUCGAGUGGCGAACGGGUGAGUAACACGUGAGUAACCUGCCCUUGACUUUGGGAUAACUUCAGGAAACUGGGGCUAAUACCGGAUAGGAGCUCCUGCUGCAUGGUGGGGGUUGGAAAGUUUCGGCGGUUGGGGAUGGACUCGCGGCUUAUCAGCUUGUUGGUGGGGUAGUGGCUUACCAAGGCUUUGACGGGUAGCCGGCCUGGGAGGGUGACCGGCCACAUGGGGACUGAGAUACGGCCCAGACUCCUACGGGAGGCAGCAGUGGGGAAUAUUGCACAAUGGGCGGAAGCCUGAUGCAGCAACGCCGCGUGCGUGAUGACGGCCUUCGGGUUGUAAACCGCUUUCGCCUGUGACGAAGCGUGAGUGACGGUAAUGGGUAAAGAAGCACCGGCUAACUACGUG